rnacentral:rRNA from 1 species
GGCUAGAGUAGGUGAGAGGAAGGUAGAAUUCCAGGUGUAGCGGUGAAAUGNGUAGAGAUCUGGAGGAAUACCGAUGGCGAAGGCAGCCUUCUGGCAUCAUACUGACACUGAGGUUCGAAAGCGUGGGUAGCAAACAGGAUUAGAUACCCUGGUAGUCCACGCCGUAAACGAUGUCUACUAGUCGUUGGGUCCCUUGAGGACUUAGUGACGCAGCUAACGCAAUAAGUAGACCGCCUGGGGAGUACGGCCGCAAGGUUAAAACUCAAAUGAAUUGACGGGGGCCCGCACNAGCGGUGGAGCAUGUGGUUUAAUUNGAUGCAACGCGAAGAACCUUACCUGGUCUUGACAUAUCUAGAAUCCUGCAGAGAUGCGGGAGUGCCUUCGGGAAUUAGAAUACAGGUGCUGCAUGGCNGUCGUCAGCUCGUGUCGUGAGAUGUUGGGUUAAGUCCCGCAACGAGCGCAACCCUUGUCCUUAGUUACCAGCGGUUUGGCCGGGAACUCUAAGGAUACUNCCAGUGACAAACUGGAGGAAGGCGGGGACGACGUCAAGUCAUCAUGGCCCUUACGACCAGGGNUACACACGUGCUACAAUGGUAGGUACAGAGGGCAGNUACACAGCGAUGUGAUGNGAAUCUCAAAAAGCCUAUCGUAGUCCAGAUUGGAGUCUGCAACUCGACUCCAUGAAGUAGGAAUCGCUNGUAAUCGCGGAUCAGAAUGCCGCGGUGAAUACGUUCCCGGGCCUUGUACACACCGCCCGUCACACCAUGGGAGUUGAUUGCACCAGAAGUGGGUAGCCUAACCUUUUAGGAUGGCGCUC